rnacentral:rRNA from 1 species
UACGUAGGGCGCAAGCGUUGUCCGGAAUUAUUGGGCGUAAAGAGCUCGUAGGCGGUUUGUCGCGUCUGUCGUGAAAGCCCACGGCUUAACUGUGGGUCUGCGGUGGAUACGGGCAGACUAGAGUGCGGUAGGGGAGAUCGGAAUUCCUGGUGUAGCGGUGAAAUGCGCAGAUAUCAGGAGGAACACCGGUGGCGAAGGCGGAUCUCUGGGCCGUAACUGACGCUGAGGAGCGAAAGCAUGGGGAGCGAACAGG